rnacentral:rRNA from 1 species
UACAGAGGUCCCAAGCGUUGUUCGGAUUCACUGGGCGUAAAGGGUGCGUAGGCGGCGUGUCAAGUCGAUUGUGAAAUCUCCGGGCUUAACUCGGAACGGCCAAUCGAUACUGACGUGCUAGAGUGCAGAAAGGGCAAUCGGAAUUCUUGGUGUAGCGGUGAAAUGCGUAGAUAUCAAGAGGAACACCUGAGGCGAAGGCGGGUUGCUAGGCUGACACUGACGCUGAGUGCGCGAAAGCCAGGGGAGCAAACGGG